rnacentral:tRNA from 1 species
AAGGUAGUUCAGUUGGUUAGAGCACCUGUCUGAUACGCAGGAAAUCAUGGGUUCGAUUCCCAUCCUU